CCUACGGGAGGCAGCAGUGAGGAAUAUUGGGCAAUGGAGGCAACUCUGAUCCAGCCAUGCCGCGUGUGUGAAGAAGGCUUUCGGAUUGUAAAGCUCUUUCGGCUGUGACGAUGACGACGGUAGCAUCUAAAGAAGCCCCUGCUAACUCCGUGCCAGCAGCCGCGGUAAUACGACGGGGGCAAGCGUUGUGCGGAAUUACUGGUCGUAAAGGGAGUGUAGGCGGUUUAGUAAGAUAGUGGUGAAAUCCCUGAGCUUAACUUUGGAAUUGCAAUUAUAACUAGUAGACUAGAAUUACAGAGAGGAUAGUGGAAUACCGAGUGUAGAGGGGAAAUUCGUAGAUAUUGGGUAGAACACCAGUGGCGAAGGCGACUAUCUGGCUGUACAUUGACGCUGAGGCUCGAAAGCAUGGGGAUCAAACAGGAUUAGAUACCCGUGUAGUC
rnacentral:rRNA from 1 species